UAGAGGUUGUGAGCCAGAGGUUGUGAGCCAGAUGUUGUGACAUACGGAGCAAUCAUUGACGCCCUUUGCAAGGAUGAGCUAGUUGGUGAGGCUUUAGAGCUCUUCUCUCAAAUGAGGAAUAAGGGCAUUUCACCUAAUGUCAUCACUUACACUAGUUUAAUUCAUGGUGUUUGCAAAUUAGGCCAAAAGAACCAAGCUUUGGCCUUGAUGAAUGAAAUGGUGGAGCAGAACAUAUUACCAAAUGUUUAUACCUUCAAUGUAUUGAUUGAUGCUCUUUGUAAGGAUGGAAUGGUUUCAGAGGCUCAAAAUACAUUCAAUGUAAUGAUUCAAAGAGGUGUAGAGCCUGAUGUGGUCACCUACAAUUCCUUAAUUGAUGGUCUUUGCAUUUCAGACCAAUUCAAGGAAGCUUUGGCCUUGUUGAAAGAAAUGGUGGGGAGGAACAUAUCCCCUAAUGUUGUUACCUUCAAUAUAUUGAUCGACACUCUUUGUAAGAAAGGACUGGUUUCAAAUGCACAAAAUAUAUUCAAAAUAAUGAUUCAAAGAGGUGUGGAACCUACUGUUAUCACUUAUAGUUCAUUGAUGGAUGGAUAUUGUCUAGGCAGCCAAAUUGAUAAGGCUAGAAAGCUAUUUGAUCUGAUGGUGACCAAUGAAAUAGCUGACAUUUUUAGCUACAACAUUUUGAUCAAUGGAUAUUGUAAGUGCAAAAUGAUAGAUGAUGCAAAGCAGAUUUUUGAUGAAAUGUCUCAUAAAGGUUUAGUUCCUGAUGCUGUUACUUAUCAUACUCUUAUAAAGGCUAUGUUUCAAGCAGGGAGGCCCCAAAAUGCAAAAGAGUUCUUUAAGGAUAUGUGCUCUCAUGGUCAACAGCCAAAUAUAGUAACCUUCUCAAUUAUGAUUAAUGGCUUGUGUAGACAGGGGAAUCUCGACGAGGCACUCACCCUAUUGAAAGCAAUGGAGAAAAGUCAGUUGAAGCCUAAUUUUGUGAUCUAUAGCAGUCUGAUCAAUGGUAUGUGCAAAGUUGGGAAGAUUAAUGAUGCCAAGGAACUUGUUUCUAGUCAUUUCGAAAUUGGUUUACAACCUGAUGUUUAUGUAUAUAAUGCAAUUAUGAAAGGACUCUGCCAACAAGGAUUAAUGGAUGAAGCAUAUAAGGUAUUUAAAGACAUGGAAAAGGUAGGAUGUUUACCAAAUAAUUGUUGUUAUAAUAUCAUCAUUCAAGGGUUUCUCAGGCAUGAGGAUUUACCAAAAGCAUCAGAACUAAUCAACGAAAUGGUUGAUAAGGGGUUCUCUGCUGAUGAUUCUACCACAAAAUUGGUAGUACAUUUAUCGCGGAAUAAUAAUCUCAUUCUGAGGCUUUUAAAGGUGCGCAAUGAGGGAUCAACAAACUAAAGUUGUUAUAUCUUGACCAUUCAAGUGUAUCUUGGAGCGCAACUUGACAUGGACUAGAUCUCUUUGAUAUAAGAUUGUUGAUGAAUGGAGGUCAUAGAUUUCUAAUCAUCAAGUUGCUGGUACUUGCAAAGAUAUGACUACAACUUCAUCUUUCUAACCAUAAAGGGCGCAGGAUAUGCAGUCCCAAAAUACAAGAUAAGAGAAUCACUAGAUUUCUAUGGCUGUUGGUUGGAUGAAAUGUCACUAAAAUUAUAAGCAGAAAAUUUUAUGGGAAUUGAGGGAAAAGCAAACGUCCUCUUUGUCAAUAUGGUAUAUAAUGGAUAUGUUUUAGUGUUGGACCACCAUUUGAGUUAUUUAUAUGGUGCAUUUUGCGAUACAUUUGUGUGGUGUUAUGAAUGUGAAACACAUUGUUUCUUACCGUUUGAGAUGUUUGUUAAGUUAGGCAAGAAAAGUUGUUUUGGUUGUU